GACACGUGUCGUGUUGUGAUUGGCUUCUGAUGUUGACACGUGUCGCGCUGUGAUUGGCCUCCUGGUUGAAGGGAAGCUCUUCUGGGUCCUUGACGGUAUAACGUUGACCAGUGCUCAGUAGUUUCGGGAUUGGUCAAGUAUGGUACAAACAGAUUCUAUGUGUAGAAAGAGUGGAUUUUGUUAUAAUUGAUUGCCUAACUAUGAGACUCCAUAUUUUUUAAAUAUAUAUUUAUUAUUAUUAUUAUUUAAAAAGAGUUGUCAUUGGGUUUUCUUAUAUUAUAUAAUUUCUAGCUUUGGCUUAAGUUUCCACUAGAUGUACUAUAACUAGCAGCUCCCCAUAUGUAUUUAUUUAGUUAUUAAGUUUAUACCCUUUUACAAUGUUAUACUACAUUCACUUGAUAACCUUCAAGUUGUCAAGAUGUCUGGCUAUUAUUCAUACAAAUCCUACCACUCAUUAAAAGGUACUCGUAAAGCUUCUGUAUAGCUUGAGUUUGCUAAUAUGAUCUUUCCCUCUUCUUUUUGUAUAUCGACACCUGCACCUUUACACUUCAUCAUCUUCUCUAGGUAACUCAGGUUGUUGACGCCUCCUACUCUAGACAACCAUUAUCCAUUUCAAUUUAUGGACUCUUAGCUAUUAAGUUUUCUCUACCAUUGGUUUGGUCCUACCAAGAUAGAAUGAGGAUAGUUACCGACUUUGUCCCGUAUAAAUACCUUCCACCCUUCUCAAUUUUAUGCACAUUAUUUAUCAACCUUUUUCCCUCUUUAUCAUGUUGCAUGCAGCCAUGCAAAGUGUCAGUUUAUAUACAUAUACGUGUGUGUGUGUAUGUAUAGAGGGAGAUUAGAAUAUAAAAGAGUGGAAGAAAUUAGGGCUGGAAAAAAAAAUACCAAAAUUCUCAAACUAAACCGAAAAAAUACCAU
rnacentral:lncRNA from 1 species